rnacentral:miRNA from 14 species
UGAACGGCCCUUGUUGUGAGGA